CAAAACAAAGAUAAAAACGCAACGUGCAUCUAAAGAUGUGCCUGAGCCGGAAGGUAGCCCGGCCGUCCUGAUCCACACAGGGUAAGUAACCUGCCCCUCCGGGUUGUCCGUUCUUUGUUCAUGACAU
rnacentral:ncRNA from 1 species